rnacentral:lncRNA from 1 species
UGAGAUCACGCUUUAUAAUAUUCAGAAAACAGAACUUUCAAGUUCAUCUUCUUCCUUGUUUAUCGGUAUUCUUGAGAAUCAACGAUACACAAGCUUCGAUCGAGUUUCGGGAAUUCUUAGACUAAACGAAUUUCGUUUGACUUACUUACGCUGUGCCAGUUUUGGUAUCAGAGCGAGUUCCGUUCCGACCUAAUUUUUUUUUUUUCUUCUCCAAACCAUUUCAGACUCUUUUCAAUGGCUCCACGACGUACAAACACAACCGACAACACGCUGAACGAGUGGGAGGAGUUGCGAAGAACACUCGUAACGAUGCAGGAGAACAUCCAGUUGACAAUUCACAACUCGAUGAGAGAGUUCGCUGAGGCAACUUACGAGAGGUAUGAUCGUGAUCGCAUGGAUCAUGGUCGUCGUGAUCGUGACCGAGAUCGUGGGCAAGCUGUCUCUGAAGAUGGAUCGACCGACGUGGACGAUAACCCAUUCGC